rnacentral:rRNA from 1 species
UACCCGAGUAGCAGCGGGCCCGUGAAAUCUGCUGUGAAUCCGUCGGGACCACCCGAUAAGCCUGAAUACUCCCUGGUGACCGAUAGCGGACUAGUACCGUGAGGGAAAGGUGAAAAGUACCCCGGGAGGGGAGUGAAAUAGUACCUGAAACCGUGCGCUUACAAUCCGUCGGAGCCUUCGAGCAGUUUGGUCUGCUGGGGGUGACGGCGUGCCUUUUGAAGAAUGAGCCUGCGAGUUAGUGGCAUGUCGCGAGGUUAACCCGUGUGGGGUAGUCGUAGCGAAAGCGAGUCCGAACAGGGCGUCUGUAGUGGCAUGUUCUAGACCCGAAGCGGAGUGAUCUACCCAUGGCCAGGGUGAAGCGACGGUAAGACGUCGUGGAGGCCCGAACCCACUUAGGUUGAAAACUGAGGGGAUGAGCUGUGGGUAGGGGUGAAAGGCCAAUCAAACUCCGUGAUAGCUGGUUCUCCCCGAAAUGCAUUUAGGUGCAGCGUCGCGUGUUUCUCACCGGAGGUAGAGCUACUGGAUGGUCUAGGGGGCCCACAAGCUUACCGAAAUCAGCCAAACUCCGAAUGCCGGUGAGUGAGAGCGCGGCAGUGAGACUGCGGGGGAUAAGCUUCGUAGUCGAGAGGGAAACAGCCCAGAUCGCCGGCUAAGGCCCCUAAGCGUGUACUAAGUGGAAAAGGAUGUGGGAUCGCUGAGACAACCAGGAGGUUGGCUUAGAAGCAGCCACCCUUGAAAGAGUGCGUAAUAGCUCACUGGUCAAGUGGUUCUGCGCCGACAAUGUAGCGGGGCUCAAGUACACCGCCGAAGCCGCGGCACUC